rnacentral:rRNA from 1 species
AGGUCACUGCUAUCGGGGUUCGAUUAAGCCAUGCGAGUCGCGAGGGUUCGGCCCUCGGCGUACUGCUCAGUAACACGUGGAUAACCUGCCCUAAGGAAGGGGAUACCCCCGGGAAACUGGGGCUAAUACCCUAUAGGUUACCGCUGCUGGAAUGCUUGGUAACCGAAAGUUCCGGCGCCUUAGGAUGGAUCUGCGGCCGAUUAGGUUGUUGUUGGGGUAACGGCCCAACAAGCCUGUAAUCGGUACGGGUUGUGGGAGCAAGAGCCCGGAGUUGGAUUCUGAGACACGAAUCCAGGCCCUACGGGGCGCAGCAGGCGCGAGAACUUUACAAUGCGGGCAACCGUGAUAAGGGAACCUCGAGUGCCUGUACAUGCAGGCUGUCCAGGUGUCUAAAGCACACCUGAAGAAAGGGCCGGGCAAGACCGGUGCCAGCCGCCGCGGUAAUACCGGCGGCUCGAGUGGUGGCCACUUUUAUUGGGCUUAAAGCGUUCGUAGCUGGGUCGGUAAGUCUCUUGGGAAAUCCGGCGGCUUAACCGUCGGGCGUCUAAGAGAAACUGUCGAUCUUGGAACCGGGAGAGGUGAGGGGUACUUCGGGGGUAGGAGUGAAAUCUUGUAAUCCCUGUGGGACCACCUGUGGCGAAGGCGUCUUACCAGAACGGGUUCGACGGUGAGGGACGAAAGCUGGGGGCACGAACCGGAUUAGAUACCCGGGUAGUCCCAGCCGUAAACGAUGCUCGCUAGGUGUCAGGCAUGGCGCGACCGUGUCUGGUGCCGCAGGGAAGCCGUGAAGCGAGCCACCUGGGAAGUACGGCCGCAAGGCUGAAACUUAAAGGAAUUGGCGGGGGAGCACAACAACGGGUGGAGCCUGCGGUUUAAUUGGACUCAACGCCGGACGACUCACCGGGGACGACAGCAAAAUGUAGGCCAGGCUGAAGACCUUGCCUGAAUCGCUGAGAGGAGGUGCAUGGCCGUCGCCAGUUCGUACUGUGAAGCAUCCUGUUAAGUCAGGCAACGAGCGAGACCCGUGCCCACUGUUACCAGCAUGUCCUCCGGGACGAUGGGUACUCUGUGGGGACCGCCGGUGUUAAAUCGGAGGAAGGUGCGGGCCACGGUAGGUCAGUAUGCCCCGAAUUUCCCGGGCUACACGCGGGCUACAAUGGAUGGGACAAUGGGUCCCUCCCCCGAAAGGGGCUGGUAAUCUCACAAACCCAUUCGUAGUUCGGAUCGAGGGCUGUAACUCGCCCUCGUGAAGCUGGAAUCCGUAGUAAUCGCGUUUCAAUAUAGCGCGGUGAAUACGUCCCUGCUCCUUGCACACACCGCCCGUCAAACCACCCGAGUGAGGUAUGGGUGAGGGCACGGACUCUGUGCCGUGUUCGAACCUGUGCUUUGCAAGGGGGGUU